rnacentral:rRNA from 1 species
ACGUGGAUAACCUACCUAUAAGACUGGGAUAACUUCGGGAAACCGGAGCUAAUACCGGAUAAUAUUUUGAACCGCAUGGUUCAAAAGUGAAAGACGGUCUUGCUGUCACUUAUAGAUGGAUCCGCGCUGCAUUAGCUAGUUGGUAAGGUAACGGCUUACCAAGGCAACGAUGCAUAGCCGACCUGAGAGGGUGAUCGGCCACACUGGAACUGAGACACGGUCCAGACUCCUACGGGAGGCAGCAGUAGGGAAUCUUCCGCAAUGGGCGAAAGCCUGACGGAGCAACGCCGCGUGAGUGAUGAAGGUCUUCGGAUCGUAAAACUCUGUUAUUAGGGAAGAACAUAUGUGUAAGUAACUGUGCACAUCUUGACGGUACCUAAUCAGAAAGCCACGGCUAACUACGUGCCAGCAGCCGCGGUAAUACGUAGGUGGCAAGCGUUAUCCGGAAUUAUUGGGCGUAAAGCGCGCGUAGGCGGUUUUUUAAGUCUGAUGUGAAAGCCCACGGCUCAACCGUGGAGGGUCAUUGGAAACUGGAAAACUUGAGUGCAGAAGAGGAAAGUGGAAUUCCAUGUGUAGCGGUGAAAUGCGCAGAGAUAUGGAGGAACACCAGUGGCGAAGGCGACUUUCUGGUCUGUAACUGACGCUGAUGUGCGAAAGCGUGGGGAUCAAACAGGAUU